GCACAAGCGGAGGAACAUGUGGUUUAAUUCGAUGAUACGCGAGGAACCUUACCUGGGCUAGAACGCAUUCGGAAUCAGGCCGAAAGGCCUGCGCCAGCGAUGGCCGCUUGCGAGGUGCUGCAUGGUUGUCGUCAGCUCGUGCCGUGAGGUGUCGGGUUAAGUCCCAUAACGAGCGCAACCCCUACUGCUAGUUGCCAGCGGGUCAUGCCGGGGACUCUAGCGGAACUGCCAGCGUAAGCUGCGAGGAAGGGUGGGGAUGACGUCAAAUCAGCACGGCCCUUACGUCCAGGGCUACACACGUGUUACAAUGGCCGGUACAGAGGGCAGCCACCCCGCGAGGGGGCGCGAAUCCCGAAAGCCGGUCCCAGUUCGGAUCGGAGUCUGCAACCCGACUCCGUGAAGCUGGAUUCGCUAGUAAUCGCGCAUCAGCCACGGCGCGGUGAAUACGUUCCCGGGCCUU
rnacentral:rRNA from 1 species